rnacentral:rRNA from 1 species
AACGAACGCUGGCGGCAUGCCUAACACAUGCAAGUCGAACGAGACAUUCGGGUCUAGUGGCGCACGGGUGCGUAACGCGUGGGAACCUGCCCUUAGGUUCGGAAUAACUCCCCGAAAGGGGUGCUAAUACCGGAUAAUGUCUUCGGACCAAAGAUUUAUCGCCUUUGGAUGGGCCCGCGUUGGAUUAGCUAGUUGGUAGGGUAAAAGCCUACCAAGGCGACGAUCCAUAGCCGGUCUGAGAGGAUGAUCAGCCACACUGGGACUGAGACACGGCCCAGACUCCUACGGGAGGCAGCAGUGGGGAAUAUUGGACGAUGGGCGAAAGCCUGAUCCAGCAAUGCCGCGUGAGUGAUGAAGGCCUUAGGGUUGUAAAGCUCUUUUACCCGGGAUGAUAAUGACAGUACCGGGAGAAUAAGCUCCGGCUAACUCCGUG